UCGCCGAGCCACGUUCUUAAUCCCCACUUUUCCGCUCUGGAUUUGUGGGAUCUGAUGGAGGGGUGGGAAGAAGUCUGUUUCACUUGGCCUCCCCCAUCCCCUACAGCGUCUCGUGUGCCUGGAGAGCAUCUAGGACAACCACAGCUGAGGUCGUGGUCCCCGUCGUCACACAGAAACGAUGAGCAUCUCAGCCUUUUUGCAGAAUACCCAUCCGCUUUUUCGGUGGAAGCUGAGCUAUCCUCUUCCUCUACCAGCUCGGGCCCUACCAUUCACCGCCUGAAUCAGCCGCCAUCUGGUCACUGCUCACUCCCUUCCCCCCAGGUCACAGCCAGAGACAUAACCCAGACGCUCGACCAAAAAGCCGAAACACCUGCCUCUUUAUGGGAACCCCUGGAUGAGUUCUACAGAAUUCCAAGAAGAUUGUUUGCUGAGAUUCUUUGCAGCGGAGGAGCAUGAAGCAAGAGAUGCCUCCCUCUACUCACUGAACCAGCAAGGUAAAUUUCUCUUGAGCAGAUUAUGUUGCAGAGUGUUUCAAUUGCUGGGAUUGAUGGAAGACAGUGCACUCUCCUUAAUGAGUCGGCAGGAUAAAUUGUUGGAGUAAGGAAGGCAGUAGUCCGACCUAAUGAAGUCUGGACAGUCGAGCGUGUAGGAACAGUACCAAUUUUGUUUUGCUGCUUAAAAUAGCAAUCGCUUUGUAACUCCCGGCUAUAAAUUGAAACGUUGGGUAAUGUUCCUAAAAUAAUCACGCUCAACCACUAAAACUUGUUGAGACUGGAAAGUGUGCCACUCUAGGUUUGCUGCUUUGGAUUGUUAAUUUGUAUUUGUCUGUUUUUUGUUUGUCUUUUGUUUUUUUCUGUAUGUUCCAGACUGCUCCAAGGCCAGGGGACCGUUGUGUGCUCUUUGAUUUGUAAGGGAAGAGAGUUUCAGAGGCGUUUCUUAUCUCUUAUCACACACACUUGAAUCCCUCUCUUUUCCUUCUCUAAUCAAUCUGAAAACAGAUCUGCUAGAACACUGAAUAACUGUGGGCAGGGAAGGUGUCUGCCAACUCUGUUGUAUUAUAGUACAGUGCUCUGCACACAGUAAGCACUCCAUAAAUAGCGUUGAUUAUAGAGGUGUGGAAAGCUCAUACUUUGCGUCUUCGCACGUCAAAACAAGAAGCCUAUUGAUCUCACAGGGAAGCCUAAGAUGAUAAUGAUCAUGUUGUUAAAGCAGACUCUUUGGACAUGAACUUGGUCUCCCGGCCUGGAGUAGAAGAGUGCUACUGCUCUUCAGCUAGAUAGAGAUCGAUUUCUUUGUUUGGUAGCUAUGGUCUUGUAUUUUGGGAAAGUAGUGUACCCUCCCAAGUGCUUAGUACAUUCAUUUGGUCGUAUUUAUUGAACGCUCACUGUGUGCCAAGCGCAGUGCUAAGCGCUUGGGAGAAUACAAUUCAUUUCCUGCCCAAAGCUCACAGUCCAAAGGGAGGGACAGGCGUUAAUAUAAAUAAAUAAAUAAUGGUACAGGUAUUCAUUCAGUAGUGUUUAUUGAGCCCUUACUAUGUGCAGAGCACUGUACUAAGCGCUUGGAAUGUACAAUUGGGCAGUAGAUAGAGACAAUCCCUGCCCAAUGACGGGCUCACAGUCUAAACGAUGUAUACAUAUGUGCUGUGGGAUUCUGUUCUAUCCUCUUCCCUGCCCCACAGCACUGGUGUAUAUUUGUACAUACAUAUUAUUCUAUUGAUUUAUUAAUGAUGUGUAUAUAUCUGUAAUUCUAUAUAUUCUGAUACUACCGACGCCUGUCUGUUUGUUCUGUUGUCUGUCUCCCCCUUCUAGACUCCUAGCUCGUUGUUGGGUAGGGAUCGUCUUUGUCUGUUGCUGAAUUGUACUUUCCAAGUGCUUAGUACAGUGCUCUGCACACAGUAAGCGCUCAAUAAAUACAACUGAAUGAAGGAAUGAACGAGAGGGAGGAUGAAUGAAGGGAGCAAGUAAGGUGACACAGAAAGGAGUGGCAGAAGAGGAGAGGAGGGCUUAGUCAGGGAAGGCUUCUUGGAGGAGAUGGGCCUUCAGUAAGGCUUUGAAUAGGGGAGAGCAAUUAUCUGAAAUGAGAGGGAGGGGGUUCCAGGCCAGAGGUAGGACGUGGGCUAGAGGUUGGAGGUAGAAUAAGACGAGAUCGAGGUACAGUGAGAAGGUUGGCAUUAGAGGAACAAAGUGUGUGGGCUGGGUUGUAGUAGAAAAGUAGGGAGGUGACGUAGGAGGGGGCAGGGUGAUUGAGUGCUCUAAAGCCAGUGGUGAGGAGUUUUUUGUUUGAGGCAGAGUUGGAUGGACAACCAUUGGAGUUUUCUGAGAAGUGGGGAGACAUGGUCUGAACGUUUUUGAAGGAAAAUGAUCCGGGCAGGAGAGUGAAGUCUGGACUGGAGUGGGGAGAGACAGGAGGCAGGGAAGCUGAUACAAUAAUCAAAGCGGGAUAGGGUAAGUUCUUGCAUUAAUUUAGUAGCAGUUUGGAUGGAGAGGAAGGGGUGGAUUUUAGCCAUGUCGUGAAGGUAGAACUGACAGGAUUUAGUGAGGCUUUGAAUAUGUGGGAUGAAUGAGAGAGAGGAGUACAGAGUCCAGCACAGUGCUCCGCGCAUAGUAAGUGUGCCGUAAGUACAAUUGAUCGAUUUGACCGACUCACCGACAGGUUUCCUCCGAGCA
rnacentral:lncRNA from 1 species